UUUCUCAAGAUUAUUAUUGAAUUAUAAAUUAUAAAUUAUUAUUAACUAUUAUUAUUAAAUAAUAUUAUAUAUAUAUAUAUGUAUAUAAAACAAAUGAAGAAAAAGAAUAAAAAGAAACAAAGAAGAAUAAGAAACAGAGAGCAUUCGAAAAACAGGGGAAGAAAAGGGCAAGAAAAGAAAAAGGGAAAAUUAAGAUUUUGAAGCUUCAAACUUAUUUGCCAACAAAGAACCUGAAGCAUCAGCAUCGAAAGGAAAGGAGAAAGUCAUCGAGGACUAAAACGGGAGAAUUACGGUGUGUAUUACUAUAAUUUGAAUUUUAAUUAUUAUUGAUUGCUGAAUUUUUUAUUGUUAUGUAUGGUAAGUAAGACUUGAGGUAAGUAUGUGAAAUUGAUAUGAAUAUUGAGUGAAAAUGAAAGUGAUGCAAAUUGAAUCAAAUUGAAUUGAAUAAGUGAAUUAUGGAAUAUGUAAUUAUUUGAAAAGUGUAUUGAUUGAAAAAUGAUUGGUGAUUUGAAUUGUGAAUUGAAAGUGAUAUAGGAUUGAGAAAGUGAAUUGAAUACCCUAUUAA